UAACUUUAUGAUGAGUUCUAA
rnacentral:piRNA from 1 species